rnacentral:rRNA from 1 species
CGGCAAGACGGAAAGACCCCGUGAACCUUUACUAUAGCUUGACACUGAACAUUGAGCCUUGAUGUGUAGGAUAGGUGGGAGGCUUUGAAGCGUGGACGCCAGUCUGCGUGGAGCCAACCUUGAAAUACCACCCUUUAAUGUUUGAUGUUCUAACGUUGGCCCCUUACCGGGGUUGCGGACAGUGUCUGGUGGGUAGUUUGACUGGGCGGUCUCCUCCCAAAGCGUAACGGAGGAGCACGAAGGUUAGCUAAUCCUGGUCGGACAUCAGGAGGUUAGUGCAAUGGCAUAAGCUAGCUUGACUG